rnacentral:rRNA from 1 species
GGAGCUAACGCGUUAAGUCGACCGCCUGGGGAGUACGGCCGCAAGGUUAAAACUCAAAUGAAUUGACGGGGCCCGCACAAGCGGUGGAGCAUGUGGUUUAAUUGGAUGCAACGCGAAGAACCUAACGUGGUCUUGACAUCCACGGAAUUUGGCAGAGAUGCNUUAGUGCCUUCGGGAACCGUGAGACAGGUGCGUGCAUGGCUGUCGUUCAGCUCGGGUGGUGAAAUGUUGGGUUAAGUCCCGCAACGAGCGCAACCCUUAUCCUUUGUUGCCAGCGGUUCGGCCGGGAACUCAAAGGAGACUGCCAGUGAUAAACUGGAGGAAGGUGGGGAUGACGUCAAGUCAUCAUGGCCCUUACGACCAGGGUACACACGUGNUACAAUGGCAUAUACAAAGAGAAGCGACCUCGCGAGAGCAAGCGGACCUCAUAAAGUAUGUCGUAGUCCGGAUUGGAGUCUGCAACUCGACUCCAUGAAGUCGGAAUCGCUAGUAAUCGUGGAUCAGAAUGCCACGGUGAAUACGUUCCCGG